rnacentral:rRNA from 1 species
UACGUAGGGGGCAAGCGUUGUCCGGAAUCAUUGGGCGUAAAGAGCGUGUAGGCGGUCCGGUAAGUCGGCUGUGAAAGUCCAGGGCUCAACCCUGGGAUGCCGGUCGAUACUGCCGGACUAGAGUUCGGAAGAGGCGAGUGGAAUUCCCGGUGUAGCGGUGAAAUGCUUAGAUAUGACAUAGAACACCAAUUGCGAAGGCAGCUGACUACGCGAGUAUUGACACUGAGGCACGAAAGCGUGGGGAUCAAACAGG